rnacentral:ncRNA from 1 species
UAUACAGCGAUGAAAAGAAGAGUAGCCAGAAAAUAGUUGUCUUAGAGAGUCCCGGCAGCUGAAAAGGGAACAAGGAAGGUUUGGUGAAUAUGGUCUUGGAGCUUUGGUGUCGAUCGUUAGGCAUCAACGGGAUGUCCCGUUAUAGACGCGGAGUAUGUUGGUACUCUAUGAGGCAUGUAUCGUGAGGUAUAUGUGAAUUAAGGUGGUAACACGAGAUGAUCUAUCCCGUCCUUAUA